GAGGUGGGCUUGGGGUUCUUGAACCCCUGAACUGCAGGACACAGUGCUGUGCGCUGCGUCCUCCGCGCCCCGCUCCCCCGCCCGGGAGGCGGAGAGCCGGCAUUGCGGCGGGGCCUGUGAUUGCGACCCCGGCUCUUCUGGCAUGUGCACCUCUGGCUCUGCUGGUGCUGCUUAGCUGUGUGGCCUGGGGACGGGCACUUCACCCCUCUGGGCCUUCUUCCCUCAUCGGUGAGAUAAACCUGGGAACACUAGUAUCCGGCUAGAGAGACGUGAUUGGUGAUUACGGGAGGCAGUGAAGGGGAACGUCCUAAACACGGGCAGCUUUCAGCACGUUCUCGAAGGAGCCCAGGACUCCAACGGGCUUAAAGAUUGCUGCAGAGGCUGCUGCUGCGCCCGCGCCCAGGGAGAAAACUGAGGACCUGGGAGGCGAAGCCAGUUGCCCAAGAAAGGUCAUCAGCCAGAAGCAGUCGUGUGGCCCCACCCAACAACAAGGGGGCAGGAAGGCCCAUCCCACCACGCGCCCAGAAUGCAGAACUUGAAUUGUCAGGUUACAGAGAUGGUUUAAGCAAAAGGAGAGCUCUCUGAGGAGACCGCUGGGGCAUCUGGCAGACCCUCAAGCAGGAACACGCAGGGCCUCCCCCAGGCCUGGCUGCAAGAACUGGAAAGCCACCAAGAGCCUAGGCCAGCUGUCUCUGCACAUCAGCCUCCCGCUUCUCCCCAGCAGGCCGCCCUCCUCUGCAUCUCUGCAAGUUUCCCAGUCUCCUCGCCUCUUUCACGUUCUGACAGUGUGACUCCUAGUCCAUUUCAAAUCCCAGUCCUAGAGGAUUCUGAUUGGCCCAGCUUUGAUCCCAUGCCCACCCCUGCUCCAAUCCUCUUACU